ACCCGGUGUGCCCUUUCACGUGCACUUUGGGAAUCAAUGAAAAUACACUUCGAGGUAUGGAAGAGAAAGGAACCAAACGUUCCUCUCUCUCACUGGUAGUAAGACAGUGUCAGUUAAGUCAUUACAUGACGAUCACCUUCCAGUUAGUCUUCCCUCUGGCAUGGGGACUCACGCGUGACCGCACCCGGAGAGACGCGCCCACGGACAGCUGGGCCAUCACAAUGCUCUGAGUCACUGCACUGACUUCCACUGCGGUGCUUUAGAAUCAGAAGUAAAACCCGCCUAAGCCACAUCCAAGUGUGCAUCUAAGGUUUCACUCCUUCCUCUUUACCAAUGCCCAGAAUGUGAAAUCAUCAAAAAGUCAAGAGAAGCCUUCAUUGGACCACCAACCUCAGCAUUAAUUCAGCGUUUUCUAUUCCCUCCUUGUCUUGACCAUUCUCAGGCCUCAGCUUUUCCUGACAUUUUGGCUUCGUUUUCCUUGGAAAUUGCCUCAGCUUGGCCUGGUGACCUUUCCAAGUAGUGUGCUUUGGCGAGCUCCCCCACCUGGCCUUAGACGGUAAUGUCUCCAAAGGCAGUAGGGGGCUCUGUAGGUAUUUCGCAAAGAUAAACAAACGUGAACAUGCCUAACGCUGAGGUCCGUGAAGCCAAGAUAAGAUUUUCCUUCAUCUAGCACUCACUCAAAAUGAGUGAGUAUCUAGCACUCACUCAAAAAUAAGGGAGCACGAAAAGAUGUAUUAAUAUGAAUGGAAACCAGCACAAACAACAGACCCAUAGGUAUUCGAAGAGUGAAAUUUCCAGAAACGUAGUAUGUGUCAGGUAUUAUAUUAAGCUGAUAGAGAUAGAAGUCAAACUUCAACAUCUCAGCAAGAAACUGGGAUCUUUAAAAAGGACAUCACAGAUUUAAAAAGAAAAUAUAAAAAAAUAGAUGUCUUGGAACUAAAAAACACAGUACCUGAAAUUAAAAACUCACUAGGUGGUGUUCCAGCAGAUUAGAUAUAACCAAGAGAAAGUUAGCACAUCUGAAGACAAGUCAGUACAAACCAUCCAGGAUGAAAGGGGCAAAAGAAAACAGAAGAGGAAUGGAAUUAGAAAAUCUAACAUAUAUUUAAUCAAGGUGUUAGGAAAGAGAGAAUGAUCAGAAGCGAAAUUUGGAAAGAUAACAGCUGAGAAUAUCCCAAAACUAAUAAAAGAUAUCCAUCCACAAAUUCCAGAAGCCCGAUGACUCCCAAGCAGGCUAAUUGAAAAAAACAAAAAAUCCUCCUCAUCCAGAACUAUGAAGGAUCUGAGAUAUUAUUCAACUUGCCAUGUAAUAAAUAAGCCCGCCGUAGUUUCUUGGCUGCUGACAUCACCACAUGAGCCUCCUGGGUCAAAGACUGUAUUUCAGGUCAGGGGACAAGAAUAGAGUAUUUGCAUCAAUUCCUCUUGCCUCCAAGGCCCUCAGGGACAACACAGAGGGGCCCAGGUAUGUGCUGCACGUGUAGUGGAUUUGUGUCACAGCUGAGGGACUCCAGGCUUUAGCAGUCCAGAUCUUUUGUGAUGGGCAGUAAGCUGGACCAAACUUCUCCCUGAAGAGAGACUAUUAUCAUUAUAUCAUGCUAUGCACAAACUUGCCCUCUGCUCCAAAAAAAGACAUUGGUCUCUAUUUCCCAAGGCUAUUUACUAUACAAACGUCCUUUAAAGGAGAGUCUAGAGAAAAAUCAGCAAGUACCCUGCUUGGAAGAAGAACACAGACUCAAGAGACCCAUGGAAAAUUGUAUGCCAACAUCUUCACCCUUCAUUUCUAUACCAUCUUGGCUUCUGGCUGGUCCUCCCAAGAGUACGUCACUCUUUCGGCCACUGUGACUGACCUGAAGACUCAACGGAAACCUUGACAAAGGCUGGGACCAAAUCCAUCCAAUUUCUCUCACACAACAUGUGAAUAAGGCUACUAUUUACAAGACCCCAAGCAGCGGGAUGCGGAAAAUAUUGCAGUACCGAUGUCAACCAUUCCCUCUAGAGUCCCGGACCCAAGCAGCUGAAAAACUCCUCCAGGAAGCAGCUGGGAGAGGAUGGCCCUUUUCUGGAGACAGCCACAUUCCAUGUGACCAGUCUGCCUCACCCGGGUGUGUGGAUCAGGAAGAAGUGUGACAGGUAAAGUCAGAAUUUUUUUAGUUUAUUUAUUUCUUUUUUAGAUGUUUACUUAUUUCUUUUGAGAGACAGAGGGAG